CAGCAGCAGCCGCGGUAAUACGGAGGGUGCAAGCGUUAAUCGGAAUUACUGGGCGUAAAGCGUGCGUAGGCGGUUCGUUAAGUCUGUUGUGAAAGCCCCGGGCUCAACCUGGGAAUGGCAAUGGAUACUGGCGAGCUAGAGUGUGUCAGAGGAUGGUGGAAUUCCCGGUGUAGCGGUGAAAUGCGUAGAGAUCGGGAGGAACAUCAGUGGCGAAGGCGGCCAUCUGGGACAACACUGACGCUGAGGCACGAAAGCGUGGGGAGCAAACAGGAUUAGAUACCCCCGUAGUCCCUGUCUCUUAUAC
rnacentral:rRNA from 1 species